AUUGAACGCUGGCGGCAGGCUUAGCACAUGCAAGUCGAGCGGAGAGAGGUAGCUUGCUACUGAUCUUAGCGGCGGACGGGUGAGUAAUGCUUAGGAAUCUGCCUAUUAGUGGGGGACAACAUUUCGAAAGGAAUGCUAAUACCGCAUACGUCCUACGGGAGAAAGCAGGGGAUCUUCGGACCUUGCGCUAAUAGAUGAGCCUAAGUCGGAUUAGCUAGUUGGUGGGGUAAAGGCCUACCAAGGCGACGAUCUGUAGCGGGUCUGAGAGGAUGAUCCGCCACACUGGGACUGAGACACGGCCCAGACUCCUACGGGAGGCAGCAGUGGGGAAUAUUGGACAAUGGGCGGAAGCCUGAUCCAGCCAUGCCGCGUGUGUGAAGAAGGCCUUAUGGUUGUAAAGCACUUUAAGCGAGGAGGAGGCUACUUUAGUUAAUACCUAGAGAUAGUGGACGUUACUCGCAGAAUAAGCACCGGCUAACUCUGUGCCAGCAGCCGCAGAAAGAC
rnacentral:rRNA from 1 species